AGCGAACGCUGGCGGCAGGCCUAACACAUGCAAGUCGAACGGACCCUUCGGGGUUAGUGGCGGACGGGUGAGUAACACGUGGGAACGUGCCUUUAGGUUCGGAAUAGCUCCUGGAAACGGGUGGUAAUGCCGAAUGUGCCCUUCGGGGGAGAGAUUUAUCGCCUUUAGAGCGGCCCGCGUCUGAUUAGCUAGUUGGUGAGGUAAUGGCUCACCAAGGCGACGAUCAGUAGCUGGUCUGAGAGGAUGACCAGCCACACUGGGACUGAGACACGGCCCAGACUCCUACGGGAGGCAGCAGUGGGGAAUCUUGCGCAAUGGGCGAAAUCCUGACGCAGCCAUGCCGCGUGAAUGAUGAAGGUCUUAGGAUUGUAAAAUUCUUUCACCGGGGACGAUAAUGACGGUACCCGGAGAAGAAGCCCCGGCUAACUUCGUGCCAGCAGCCGCCGUAACAC
rnacentral:rRNA from 1 species